rnacentral:hammerhead_ribozyme from 1 species
AUCCAUUUGACGAGUCCCAAAUAGGACGAAACUCGCGUCCUGGAU